AGGACGAACGCUGGCGGCGUGCUUAACACAUGCAAGUCGAGCGGUAAGGCCCUUUCGGGGGUACACGAGCGGCGAACGGGUGAGUAACACGUGAGCAAUCUGCCCUUCACUUCGGGAUAAGCCUCGGAAACGGGGUCUAAUACCGGAUAUGACUACGCCAUGCAUGUGGUGUGGUGGAAAGUUCUGGCGGUGAGGGAUGAGCUCGCGGCCUAUCAGCUUGUUGGUGGGGUAAUGGCCUACCAAGGCUUCGACGGGUAGCCGGCCUGAGAGGGUGACCGGCCACACUGGGACUGAGACACGGCCCAGACUCCUACGGGAGGCAGCAGUGGGGAAUAUUGGACAAUGGGCGAAAGCCUGAUCCAGCAACCGCCGCGGUGAGGGAUGACGGCCUUCGGGUUGUAACCUCUUUCAGCGCCGACGAAGCGAGAGUGACGGUAGGCGCAGAAGAAGCGACCGCCGAAACUACGUCGCCAGCACGCCGC
rnacentral:rRNA from 1 species